rnacentral:tRNA from 1 species
GACUCCGGAGCAUGUAUGGAUAUGCUAUAGACUUUUAAUCUAUAGAACAGGGUUCAAGUCCCUGCGGAGUCA